rnacentral:rRNA from 1 species
CGCAUCUGUGCAUGCAGCAUAUCAAUAAGCGGAGGAAAAGAAACUAACAAGGAUUCCCUCAGUAACGGCGAGUGAAGCGGGAAGAGCUCAAACUUGAAAUCUUGAAAGGUCACCUUUCACGAAUUGUAGUUUAAAGAAGUGUUUUCUGUUACGAUCGUAAUAUAAGUUCUUUGGAAUAGGACAUCACAGAGGGUGAGAAUCCCGUCUAUGAUUGCGAUUUGUAGCUUUGUGAUACACUUUCAAAGAGUCGGGUUGUUUGGGAAUGCAGCCCAAAACGGGAGGUAAAUUUCAUUCUAAGCUAAAUAUUGGCGAGAGACCGAUAGCGAACAAGUACCGUGAGGGAAAGAUGAAAAGAACUUUGAAAAGAGAGUUAAAUAGUACGUGAAAUUGUCAAAAGGGAAGCGUUUAACACCAGUGUUGUUUUCUGAAAAUCAACCUCUGUUAGCUUUAUGCAUGUUUGUUUAGACCUAAUCAGCUAUCUUGCAUGUUCUAUUGUUUGCAGUGGUGCACUUUUCAGUUUACAGGUCAACAUCAGUUUUUUUUACCGUAAAAAAGUUAAAGAAAGGUAGCUCAUGGCUCCGGUCGUGAGUGUUAUAGUCUUUUUCCUAUGCGGUAGGAGAGACUGAGGUCUGCAGUGUAGGCUAUUUGGCUAGAUACUCAGGUGCUAUGUGAUACCAUUUCAUAAACAACUUGUUGAUUAUGUUUUGUCUAUUGCAUACUCGCUUGUACUAUCAUACCUACGCUUAGGAUGUUGACGAUCAGCUGAGCGCG